rnacentral:siRNA from 1 species
AGGGAUGUCAAAAUGGGUAAC